AUACGGAGGGGGCUAGCGUUGUUCGGAAUUACUGGGCGUAAAGCGCGCGUAGGCGGUUUGCCAAGUCAGACGUGAAAGCCCCGGGCUCAACCCGGGAACUGCGCUUGAUACUGGCAUGACUAGAGGCCAGGAGAGGGUAGUGGAAUUCCCAGUGUAGAGGUGAAAUUCGUAGAUAUUGGGAAGAACACCAGUGGCGAAGGCGGCUCUCUGGACCGGUACUGACGCUGAUGUGCGAAAGCGUGGGGAGCAAACAGGAUUAGAAACCCCAGUAGUCC
rnacentral:rRNA from 1 species